UACGUAGGGUGCGAGCGUUAAUCGGAAUUACUGGGCGUAAAGCGUGCGCAGGCGGUGAUGUAAGACAGGUGUGAAAUCCCCGGGCUUAACCUGGGAACUGCAUUUGUGACUGCAUCGCUGGAGUGCGGCAGAGGGGGAUGGAAUUCCGCGUGUAGCAGUGAAAUGCGUAGAGAUGUGGAGGAACACCGAUGGCGAAGGCAGCCCCCUGGGCUAACACUGACGCUCAUGCACGAAAGCGUGGGGAGCAAACAGG
rnacentral:rRNA from 1 species